GACUGCGCACCGCUUCAAGGUGACCCGGCGGCUUUCUCCAUCGCCGGGUUGAAACGGGAAGCCGGUGACGCGCCCUCUCUUGCGGGAGGAUCGGCGCCAGUCCGGCACUGCCCCCGCAACGGUAAGCAAGACAGAUCGCGGCAACCGCCACUGUGCUCGACACGGGAAGGCGCCGCGAUCGGCAGCCCGACCCCGCGUCGGCGCUGCGCUUGCGAGUCCGGAGACCGGCCUUGAAGCGCCACAGGUU
rnacentral:ncRNA from 1 species